UUAUUCGAACUCUUCGGAGAUCGUGAGCAGCGGCAGCAGCGUUUCUUUCGACGGAUCGUCUACAACUUCUCAACACCAGUUUACUGUUUAAUAUUUACUGUUUUAUUAUCUGUAUUAUCUUUUAAUUACUGUAUAUAAUUGUAUAUAAUUGGAUUAUCUGUACUGUUUUGUCAUUAAUUAAUUGUAUUUGGUUUUUUGUUUUUCAGGUGACUGUAGCCGCUGAGGGAGCUCACCCCCAUACCGGUCAGGUAUGGAUCCCCGGUGGAGGAGCAGACCUCUUCCAAUAGUGGCGCAGUCAGGAAACUUUUGCUUCCGGACUCGUCGUGUGUCUCCGUGGCAGGGUGAAGAUCCAGCCGCCUGUGAGGAGCCCCAGCCGUGUCAGCCCGGGUUCCUCGAGAUGAAGCCAAGGGCCUACAUUAAGAAGUGCACAGAAGGUCAGCUGGAGGGACUCCUUCCCACCUCCCACCCAGAGUCUCCAUUGCCUUCAACAACACCUGAAAGGGAUGACUGUAAGGCUCUGGUGGUGGUUGCGGAGGCAGAACCCUUGAACACGCUGAACACUGCUGGUCCAGUUGCACAGUGUGAGGAAGCCCGGAUCACGUCCCUCACCACCACCCACCACCCGGAGACAUUCAGCCAGUCAGGGAUCGAUGUCCUGGUGGUGGUUGCAGAGGCGGGUCCCUCUUACAGGCUGGACACCAACAGCACCGAGCCUGAGUCUGAGCCAGUGCCAGUUGCACAGGCUGAGGAGGAUCUGGAGAGCAGCAUGGAGGUCGUGGUGGAGAGCAUAGAAACAGCUCCCAAAAACAAGAGACGACGGCUACAGCGCUGUCUGAGACUCUGGAGGAGCACAGCCUCUACCUUCCUCUCCUGCUUUCCUUGUAGGGUUAAGAGAUCUAACAAAAAUAGAGAGGAUAAAUAGAGGAUAAAACGACGGUGGAUAGAUACAUAGAAAGGGGGAUGAUAUAUAGGUAGAUAGAUAGAAAAGGGGAUGAUAUAUAGGUAGAUACAUAGAAAAGGGGAUGAUAUAUAGGUAGAUAGAUAGAAAAGGGGGUGAUAUAUAGGUAGAUAGAUAGAAAGGGGGAUGAUAUAUAGGUAGAUAGAAAAGGGGAUGAUAUAGGUAGAUAGAUAGAAAAGGGGAUGAUAUAUAGGUAGAUAAAUAGAAAGGGGAUGAUAUAUAGGUAGAUAGAUAGCAAAGGGGGUGAUAUAUAGGAAAAUAGAUAGAAAAGGGGAUGAUAUAUAGGUAGAUAGAAAGGGGUAGGAUAGAUAGAUAAGUAGAUAGAUAGAUAGAUAUCUAUCUAUAUUCAAUUCAAUAUAGCUUAUUUAGCAUGGCUGUAAAUUACAGUGAUAUAUGAUAUAUGAACAUACAUAAC